rnacentral:rRNA from 1 species
GAUGAACGCUGGCGGCGUGCCUAAUACAUGCAAGUCGAGCGAACGGACGAGAAGCUUGCUUCUCUGAUGUUAGCGGCGGACGGGUGAGUAACACGUGGAUAACCUACCUAUAAGACUGGGAUAACUUCGGGAAACCGGAGCUAAUACCGGAUAAUAUUUUGAACCGCAUGGUUCAAAAGUGAAAGACGGUCUUGCUGUCACUUAUAGAUGGAUCCGCGCUGCAUUAGCUAGUUGGUAAGGUAACGGCUUACCAAGGCAACGAUGCAUAGCCGACCUGAGAGGAUGUUCGGCCACACUGGAACUGAGACACGGUCCAGACUCCUACGGGAGGCAUCAGAAGGGAAUCUUCCGCGAUGGUCGAAUUCCUGACGGAGCAACGCCGCGUGAGUGAUUGAGGGCUUCGGAUCGUAAAACUCGGUUAUUAGGGAAGAACAUAUGCGUAAGUAACUGUGCACAUCUUGACGGUACCUAAUCAGAAAGCCACGGCUAACUUCGUG